GACGAACGCUGGCGGCGUGCCUAAUACAUGCAAGUAGAACGCACAGUUUAUACCGUAGCUUGCUACACCAUAGACUGUGAGUUGCGAACGGGUGGGUAACGCGUAGGUAACCUGCCUGGUAGCGGGGGAUAACUAUUGGAAACGAUAGCUAAUACCGCAUAAUAUUAAUUAUUGCAUGAUAAUUGAUUGAAAGAUGCAACUGCAUCACUACCAGAUGGACCUGCGUUGUAUUAGCUAGUAGGUGAGGUAACGGCUCACCUAGGCGACGAUACAUAGCCGACCUGAGAGGGUGCUCGGCCACACUGGGACUGAGACACGGCCCAGACUCCUACGGGAGGCAGCAGUAGGGAAUCUUCGGCAAUGGACGAAAGUCUGACCGAGCAACGCCGCGUGAGUGAAGAAGGUUUUCGGAUCGUAAAGCUCUGUUGUAAGAGAAGAACGGGUGUGAGAGUGGAAAGUUCACACUGUGACGGUAUCUUACCAGAAAGGGACGGCUAACUACGUG
rnacentral:rRNA from 1 species